UGGGGAAUCUUGGACAAUGGGGGCAACCCUGAUCCAGCCAUGCCGCGUGAGUGAUGAAGGCCUUAGGGUCGUAAAGCUCUUUCGCCUGUGAAGAUAAUGACGGUACCAUCAGAAGAAGUUCCGGCUAACUCCGUGCCAGCAGCCGCGGUAAUACGGAGGGAACUAGCGUUGUUCGGAAUUACUGGGCGUAAAGCGCGCGUAGGCGGCUUGGUAAGGUAGAGGGUGAAAUCCCGGAGCUCAACUCCGGAACUGCCCCCGUAAACUGCCGAGCUAGAAUCCUGGAGAGGUGAGUGGAAUUCCUAGUGUAGAGGUGAAAUUCGUAGAUAUUAGGAAGAACACCAGUGGCGAAGGCGACUCACUGGACAGGUAUUGACGCUGAGGUGCGAAAGCGUGGGGAGCGAACAGGAUUGAGAUACCCUGGUAGUCCACGCCGUAAACGAUGGGUGCUAGGUGUUGGGUAGCUUGCUAUU
rnacentral:rRNA from 1 species